UACGAAGGGGGCUAGCGUUGCUCGGAAUGACUGGGCGUAAAGGGCGCGUAGGCGGUUUGUACAGUCAGAUGUGAAAUUCCUGGGCUCAACCUGGGGGCUGCAUUUGAUACGUAUGGACUGGAGUGAGGAAGAGGGUCGUGGAAUUCCCAGUGUAGAGGUGAAAUUCGUAGAUAUUGGGAAGAACACCGGUGGCGGAGGCGGCGACCUGGUCCUUUACUGACGCUGAGGCGCGAAAGCGUGGGGAGCAAACAGG
rnacentral:rRNA from 1 species